rnacentral:rRNA from 1 species
GAUGAACGCUGGCGGCGUGCUUAACACAUGCAAGUCGAACGGUCGUAGCAAUACGAUAGUGGCGCACGGGUGAGGAACACGUAGCUAACCUGCCCCCAAGUACGGGAUAACUUCCCGAAAGGGAUGCUAAUACCGUAUAAGCUCACGCCGAGUAGGUAGGUGUGAGAAAAGGUUUACUGCUUGGGGAGGGGGCUGCGGCCCAUCAGGUAGUUGGUGAGGUAACGGCUCACCAAGCCGACGACGGGUAGGGGGUCUGAGAGGAUGGCCCCCACACUGGGACUGAGACACGGCCCAGACUCCUACGGAGGCAGCAGUGAGGGAUAUUGCGCAAU